UUCUCUUCCUUUCAAUUGCUCUUAUUUAUCUUGGUUCCUUAGUCCAAAGAACAUGGAAGUUAAUGGGAAGACUCCCAUGACCUCCACCACUGGGUUUAAUUUGGUUCCUUUUAUACUUACUGAUUACAUUUGAAAUUAUAUGAAGGUUUAAUUUUUCUCUUGUCCACUUCUACGGAGCUUAAAACCUACAUAAUGAUGUGUUAGUAUUUCAUUGGUAUUUAAUGAAACAUAACAUAAAGGUUAUGUGACCAUAUCAUCUUGAGGAAUAGUAUUUUAUAUGUGAUUUUUAGGGUAGAGUUACUAACUUUCUCAUGUAAAGGAAAGCAAAUUUUAAAUCAGAUUUUUUUUUCUCUUGUUAAGAAUUUGUUGUUAAUUACAAUAUUAAAUUUAACUAGGCUUAAUAAGAAACAUCUUAUUAAGGAUAAUUCUUUCAAAACAGAGAAAUACUUUUAAGAAAAUCAUCAAAGAGCCAUCAUUCUAUGAGAAAAGUUAAAUUGGGUAGGAAGAAGCUGAAAAAGGAGUGAAUAAUUGCUUCUUACAACUUUGGAAAGGAAAAGAUGAUGUUCUGCUGGCUCAGCUGCAGUUCUGUGUCUGUAGCCUCAUGGAAUGCCAGGCUUAACAGAUCACCUCUCAGUUGGUGAUCUUCAGACUUGAGGAGAUCCAUCCCUAACAGAGUUAGUGGUCCUCUGUGUAAGAACAGCUUGCACAAACCAUUAAAUAUGACUGAAAACGCUACAAUAAAAAGCAUGCAAAUUCCUAUUGAAGUUACAAAACAGUUACUUUUAAUGUGCCCUUUCCCUAUGUUAAGUUGUACUCAAUUUUUUUAGAUUUUAAAAGUAAGAGCUUUAUAACCUAUCAAUUCUAAGUGACAGCACGGGGAUUUUGUGGAUCAAUCAAGUAUAAAUUGUCAAGAAACCAAUAUGGUGAUUAAUAUUAACUGCAUGGCAGGCUGCAGUAACGAGAGAAUAGUCAGCAGCUUCAGGGAUUUUCUGCUUUUGGAUUUGUGCCAUACCUUGAGCACUGUUCUCUCCAGAGAAUCGGUUCAUGAGGUCCAGAAGUUUUGUGUUUCACUUCACUUUGUAUGAGGCUUGAAAAGCACCAGAGGAAUCAAUGCAAAUGUCUUCACAGACUUAGUGGACAAGCAAAGCUGGGAAAUGGUUACUUGAAAAGCUCUGUGUAUAUCCUGCUUUUCCUGCUUAACCUCAAUUGUGAGCAGCACUCUUGAGGCAUACAAGUUGAAGGACAAGCAUAUAGGUAAAAGAGGAUAAGGAGUAUAGAUAUAUGGGAUGCUUUGAGUGAACCUUUCUGUAGAAGCAGGAAAGUGUUACCCAAGAGGCAAAGCUGAAUUAUUUUAUCUUGAGACUUUCAGUUUCCUCUUUUUUUUUUUUUUAAAAUGUAUCUCUUUAAGUCAUGAACUAAAGCCAGUCCCUGCAAUCUUGGCUCAGAGUAGUCCACUCAAAUGAGUAGCUCUCAGAUUUUUUUACUAUUGGAACAGAUCCUGAUGGCAUAAAAAUUAAUGAAAUCUUGUGUCUCAAGCCUGAAAAUAUUAUGACAGCAGCCUCAAACGAGGUUUGAAGUUGUUUCCUGUGGGCUAGAAAAAUGCAAGUUCUGGAAUCGUAUGCAAAAGUGAAAUGCUUGUUCUUCUUAAAUCCUCCUCUAGUCGUCAUGAAGAUUUCCUUAGGAAAUGUAAGCAUGCAUGGAAUCACUGCUGUACACGUAGAAAAGUAGAAAUCCCCACCCUGUGCACAGAGAUUUCAGGUGAAAAUAUGCUCAUCAAAUUCAGAACACUCCUGUAAAACCUCUACAAUGAGUUUACUUCUGUACUGUAGAAAAUAAUGGCAAUUAGUGCAAAGAGUUUUCUAGCUUGAGAAAACAGCAAUGUAGAGAUGGUGCUGAACUUAGCUUUGUUUGUACAUAAUCCAUAGAACACUCUUUCUAAUGUUUCCAUUGCAUUUGUGGCCUCAGUUGCCUUAGAAAUUCCAUUUUCAUCAUUGCCUUCCAGAAAUUUUGUUUGAAAACCAUGUAAAAACAUGUAACUUGGAUUACCAGGGCAACUUGAAUUCCUUCCAUGGUAGACAAAGCUAAAAGCUCAUGUCAGUGGGACCAUCUGUCAUAUGUCCAAGGGGACAGAUGAAAUGUGCACUGAAACUACACACCUGCUUUUGUGUACAUUUGCCAAGACAGGUAGAUAAGUGUAGUCAUUUCCUUUUAUUUUUUUUUUUUUUUUGCUAGACACUCAGGGAUCAGUGAAGUGUAUAUACAUAGCCAGUCCUUUUGCUGUCCUCUUAGGGAACAUGAAUUUGUGUAUCCUGUUGUGAAGCAGUUGGUGCUGUUUUCCCCCACAAGCUCCUGUGCCAGCCCAUUCCAGUGCUCAGUAGAGACAGUGUCUGUUGCUUUUCCAUUACCUGUUGAAAUCUCCUUCCUGUUGGAGCCUGCUCUCACAAACAGUACUUUGGGCACGAGAAUUAUGCAUUCAGUUGAUGUACCACAGUGAAUUUUGUGUUAAAAUGGUCUCAAACCCCCCUUCCCUAUCUGGCUGUUGUCAGGUUUGUGUUCCGUGCAAUAUUCAAUAUUGUGCAUUCAAAAACUUGAACACCUGUUACUUUAAUAUUGCUGCUGAUAUUGAUUUACUCUGUUUCUUUGUAUGGAUAGCAGAGACAAAGGCAGGUAUAUUGAUGUGGCACGUCUUUUUUAAAAUGUUGCAAAUGUAGCAAUUAAUUUAUGGUUCUGAUGUAUUCAUGUGCAGCACCUUCUGAAUUAAAUGAAAGCCAAGUAUGUGUCAAGGAACACUGUGUCCUUAAAGUUGUGGAUUGAAGCAUUGUCAUCAGUGGUCCAGCUUUAUGAAACUUCUGGUGAUAAGGAAAUGGUUUAUACUUUCUAGUAUAUCAAGGCAUAAAAAAAAAAAAAAGGUCUUGUGUCUUGAUUCAAUAUUCAAUAUCCAUCUCUGAUGCAAUCUCCCGGACAGGCUUUGGGCAAGGUCUUUUAAUCUGUCUGUGCUUCAGAUUGUGAAUUUAGAUUCCUCAGCUCUGUGGGGGAAAUCUUUCAGUAGCACAGAGACCAUUUGUUCCAUGUGAGAGGCUGCAGAGCUGGCUGUAUGCUCCCCUCCCCUGGUACGGGAGCAGAGCGGUGUCAGGAGAGCACGGUGCAGCUCACCUGCUCUGCUUCUCACCUGCCAGGACACACACACUUCAUUCACUUUUCCAACACAAAAGUAAGGGAAAGCUGUCACCAUGCUCUUACAAACUGGAAAUACACAAGCUGUAUUAACAAUUCUGUGUCAAUGGGAAGCAGUGGUUGGUAAUGCCUAUGCGAGGAAGAGAGACUGUGAGAAAAAAAAUGCAACAAAUUAUCAAAAUAAUCAGCUUUUAUACAAUGAAAAAACUAAGUGAUGUAUCAUUAGCAUUAGAGAGAAUGUAGAUACAAGUAUCUACAGCUUUUUAAUCAAUUUUUUUUACCUAAGUGGACAACUGCACUUCAGGACUGAACAGCUCACUUUUCUGGUGGAAGUUUUGUUUUUGAGGGCAAAUAUCUGUGACAGCAAACAUGGAGCACUUUGGAGCAACAGGCAGCAGCUGAGAGCUGCUGUGGAGACUGGCCUGGUGCAUGUUCUCCCAGCAGCAGAGUGAAAUCCUUACCUGAGAGUCAUCUGUGGAUGUUCUGAGCUGCAAGCCAGUGCCCCAGACAAGGCCUUGCCUUUUAAACUCAUUUCUUACACUGAGGAUGGGGAGAGUUAGGGUGUGCUAAGGCAUGAAACACAAAGGUGAGUAUUGGAAUAACCUGCUGCAACACAUGAACAAACACAACUGUGUCGGCAACUUGCCUACACCCCCUACUCUGAUGAUCCAGAAUGAUGAUCUUUUAUGCUGUAAAAGUCAUUUGUGGUGGGUAUAGCUGAAAAUAAAAUGCUCCAAUAAAGUGCAACAGCCAAGCCACUGCAGUUUUGAUGGAAAUACAGACAUAACAUGAACUAGUCUUCAUCCUUGGGCUGUUUACCAGUUAAACCAGUAUCAAUGGUGCAAAGAAUUUUGAUGUGACAAUUUCAGUCUCCCCAUGUGUGAAUUACAUAAAACCAAUGUACUUGGUUGUUAUAUGUAGUCACUACUUUUAAUUUAUUCACUCUUCAGGCUUAAACAGAAAAUUAGUAUUUUUCCUUAUAACUACUCAUCUUUUCUGGAAAAAUCAGGAGCUUCACUGAAGUCAAUGGAAUAUGAAUGGUAUAUAAUAAUUUGUAAGUGCUGAAUCAUUAAAUAGCAUUUAAUUGAGCUGAGUAAUAAAGUCAAGAAUGGGAUCCUAUUAAACUUUAUAUAUCUCCUUGCAAUGACUACAAUGUGAAAUGUGUUCAGUUUUCUGUAGUCUGAGCUGCUGUUAACACUGGAGAAGAUGGUGCAUGCUGUAUUUUCACUGUGCCUAUUUCCACUGCCUCCUCAUUGUGCUAAAAUUAUGUAUGCCUUAGACUCUGGGAAUACCUGGUCCAGGUAACCAGAUUGACUCUGUGACCUUGUGUCAUGCACUGUGACUGGUGCAUUUUGAUUUUUACAAAUUGCAAAAGGUGGUUUUGCUGAUGGGCAGGAUAAGCAAUAGUGCAACAACUUAGGUUUUUUUCCAGUAUUCCAGAAAUAAAAAGGCAAAGUUCAAUAGUCCUUGCACAGUUCAAGACCUGGGAGCCUGGACUCUUUCCUCUAAAACUCAAUGUUUUGCAGCAGCAACCAGAAAAUGACAAUAAAUAGGAUGGUCCUUGCCUUAGUUACCAUACUCUUAUCUGUCAUAAACUCUGUAAUGCUUCAGUCCUUGCUGGAAGAGAGGAUGAAUGUUCAUUUGCAUGAGCAGAACUGUAUGUGUUCUAAAGGAUAUAUGUUAAAAAAUAAACAAAUUAAGUUCUGUUUUCCUUGUAUUCCUUUUUAAUAGUAUAAAGCAGGUAAAUCUUUUUCUGGUAAUAUGGUACACUGACUGCUGUUAUGCUCCUGUUUGCACAAAAUCUUACUGGAGAUUCUGAUCACAAUCAUUGCCCAGAACUACAAAACCGUAUCUUGCUAAUAAUUAUAUUUUUAUUAAUCAAUAAGCAUUUAAAAUAUUUCAUCUGUACUCUGUUGGUAAAUUUCUGAAGAGCUAAGAAGGGCUAUUGUGGUAGGCAUUGGUACUUGGAAUGCUUUUUUACCAUCAUCAUUGCUCCUUGAAUCCCUUUGUUCUUUGUCCUGCCUCAAAUUUUCAUUACCUCCUUCUGGUUUUUAUCUUUUCAAACUCAGUAAAGCUCUUGGGACCUUUUCCAAAUUCACUAAAGGCUUUGCUCUUGAGACCUCAUCUUUCAGUUUGCCUUAUGAAAUACCUGUCCUUUUUAAGUAUGCUGCAAAAUAACAAUAGCUUCCUGAGGCAUGAAAUGGAUUUAAACCCUCAGCACUUUCCAUGGGAUUCACUUAGCUGGGAAGAAGAGUCAUUUAUCAUCUCUGGAGAAAAGAGACAUGAGCAGCAGAAGAGAGAGUUUUACAGAAGCAGCUGAUGCCUGAGCGCUGUAAGAGCAGCGGAUGGAGCAGAGGUUCCUCGGGGGCUGCAGGAAGCUCUGCCAGUGGUUGUACCUGUUUAAGAAAACAUAUCUGCUAAAUGAAAGUCAGCAUCAUCUGGUGCAUAAGUUGCAGGCUGCCUCACAUCUUGGCUCAGUUUAGGGCAUAUGGUUCUAGUUUAGUUGAGAGGGGAAGAUUUUUACCUAAAUGUUUUGUAACCUAUCUACCAUGGCUCAGUGCUACCUUCUUUAUUUUUCUUGGUAUGUCAUUUUUUUCCAAUUUAUCUGCACUUUUUGUAUUGGCAGUGAACUGGGUUGGAUUAACUUGCAUUAUUUUUAAAAGGUCUACUGUUUGGUUAACUUAUAUGUGUCAUUAACUGCUUUAUUGUGAUGCUUUAUCAAAAUAGUAGUUCCGUGAACUGGGUGGAUAAAAUAAUUUUAAUAUAUUUAACUUACUCUGCUGUCUUUCCCCAGUAUUUGGUUUCUGCUGUUCUCUCUAACUGAACCUCCUGAUCAUUUGGGAUGAAACUUAGGGAAAUUUAAGAAACAAAACCUGGUAACAAAGGCUGGUCUGGGUUUCUCUGUUUUGCUGGGAUCUGGGUUGGGAGGAGGAGAAAGUUGCAUUAGGUGGGGUGUGUACCAGUCUGUGAAAAGGGUUGUGCACCAUCCCUAGUGAUACAUAAGAACUGUUAUUCUGUCACUCCCAUGGUGAAUGUGUACUGACCUCCACUGUGUGCUGAUUGAGGGGGCACUAACAAGGUCCAAGUGUUACCUGUAGGCUAGAAGAGAAUUUCUGAAGCCUCAAAAAUGGAUGUUGUAUGUAAGGCUCCGGGUAAGUUUCCAUGUACCUCCUAGUGCCAGGUACAAGCCUCUUCUUCAUCGUGCCAGCUUCAAAAACAUUGGCACCUCAGGGAGAAGGGGUGUGUGCUUCCAGGUUGGAUUUCAGCUGAGGACACAGCAUCUCAUCUGCUCACAGAGGGGCUUUGCUGGGUCCUGGCUCUACAUACAGAUAUUAUGUGUACAUUUUGGUUUGGGAUGAGCACAUGCCCUUGGUUCAUGCACAGCUGGUGUGCCUCAGAGUUAAACACUUUUUAUCAUGAAAUACAGGUGGUUGGAUGGCUUCAACACUGAGCAGACAGCUGUGUAUUUAAAUGUGACCUUCUACCCAGUCAGUCUCAUAACCUGCAUUUUGAAUAUGGUAUUUAGGUAAAUGCUGUGCUGAGCCUGAGGAAUUGUUAAAACUGACACCACGACGGUAUGCUAAUGCAAUUAGAUGACUUGCAGUGUUGAGAUUUGGCCUUUGUUUGGGCUCAGUUGCAGUUUAACCAGAUGCAAAAAUAUGUAGACAGUGACUUGUACACUGCUGAAACAAGCCUAGCAGAGCAAAGGUGAGAUCCACGUGUCAAAGGUGAUGCUACAGACAGCUGCCACAAGAUCUGCCAGCGACACUUCAUAUUUCCACUUGAGACAGGACUGGGAGGAGGCAUCAAAGCAGUGAGUACCAUCUGGAUGUGUCCAUGAGAUGUUGUUUGGGGUGUGGGGGGAUUUAUUAUUUGUAGAAGGCUGUUGACUGUGUGUUGAGGUUAUCUUGACACAGGAGGAGAGGCUCCAAACACCUGAUCUGUAUCGUGUUCGUGCAGCCACAGUGAAUCACUGCUACUUUGCCCUUCUGCUGCUUGGAGGUGCUGCGUAGAUGCCAAGUCUCAUUCAGUAAAUGAUGCAAGGAUUUGGAAAGCAGAGUAGUGAGUAGAGACGGUGUCCUGCCAGUAAUUGCUGGAAGCGGAGGAGAAGGGAGCUGUAGGAUGUUGGCACACGGAGAAGCGCAGAAAUAUUCCUACUCUGGCUGAUGGCUUUUAAUAGAUAUUUUUAUUGUAAUUGAAAAUUGUCUCAUCAUCCCAUUUCCUGUUCCAGUCAGCAUCGUUUAUCCUCAUUCCAAGCGUGAUUCUGAUGAAUAACACUGUCCAGUGGCACAGGGUAUCUACCAGUAUUGCUUCAGCCAACAAUUCUCUGGGACACAAGCAUGAGCAGCGCAAAAGGAAGAGGGAAAAAAAAAUCCUGUGUAGGAGUGUGCAGGUGGUGUGCUUGUAUGCUCAGUUCUUAAUAACAGUGGAAAUAAUCUCGGAGUUGCUUGUAAACUGUUACAUUCAAAUGACAAAUUAACUUUUUUGUUUACCACUGCUGAUUUUUCUUCUUUGAAUGGUUAAAUAAAUCACCAUGAGGUAUUUUCAUUUAGUAUGGCUCCAGAUCAUUUUGGACUAUGUUCAUGUAAUUUACUCACUGCAUUUAUAUCUGUUGCAUCAGUCAUCCUGUAAUUAUGAUAUUAAUUAAGAUUUUUAUUUUUGUGCUAAGUUAAUUAUGUACUGCUCCAUGCCUACUUUAGCAAGUAAACUCUAUUGUAAUAUAGUAUUACUUUAUGGUUAUUUUUUUACAUCUCUUGAUAAUUUUGCAUUUCACAUUCCAAUAGAAAGUAAAAAUGGAAAUAUAAAAAAUAACCUGGAAAUGGAGGAGGAUAAAAUGGGACAGUAUAUCAGUUCUCAGCAGAAUUAACAAAAACAAUUUAGGGUCUUCACUGUUCAAUAGUGAAAUACAAAGUAACAGAGAAGAGCCAAACAAAAUUAUUUAGAGCAAGCAGUUUAUAGAGGAAAGUGAGAGAAAAAGCAGUUUAUUUCCCAUUCAGAGCAUUAAUGCUUCUAUUAGUAGGUUCCCACACCUUACUGUUAAUUGCUAGAUGUGUAAGUUGUUUCCUCAUUGAAAUAAUGACCUUAGCCACCCAAAGUUCAAGGUUUUAAGGAAUGUUAGGAACACAGAGUGAAGCAGCUGAUGCAUUUCUGUAGGGCAGUGCUGGUGGCUGCCUGCCUAAGCCUGGCCUCCCUCGUGCUCCUCCAGCUCUUGCCAGUCCUCUGUGCCAUGAGAUAAAGUUCUUCAGUGCUGUAAAGACUUCAGAAUCUCAAUGCAAGCCAAGGGUAUUUAAAAUUGAUGCCUACAAAGACUUUGGGUGUUUUCAGAGUGUUAGUUGACUGUAUACUUUGAGAAUUGCCAUGUUGGACUAAAUGAGUGUUACUUGUGUGUUGCUCUUGAUUUCUGACUAAAACACUCUGGAGGUCAGUGGAUAUUUUGGUAUCAUGUCUGUUAUUUCUAAAAUAGUGUCUGUAUUAUAAUAUAAUGUACAGAACCUGAAAUCAGGAUCCAGUGUGUGACUAGACUGACAUAUGAAGUGAGCAUGUUAUUUUCCUGAUCAGCUUCAAGUUAACUAAAUCUAAAAACCUAGAUAGAUCUCUCAACAGUAGUUACAAAAUUGAGUAUGUACAAGUAAUUUGGUGCAAUUGUGCAAAGCUAGGAGUAUCUUUGUUUCCUCUCUUGAACUUCCAUUCUUCUUCUCCCUACAUUUUCUCUUUUGUACCUUCCUGAUUGUUUUCUCUUAUUUUAAUGUACCCCUGUGGACUUUCUUUUUGUGUUAGUUUCAUAAAUCUACUGAGCUUACUCUGUUUAAGUGUGUUGCUGUUUGCAGCAGUGACUGCAGAUCAGUGGUAUCACAAAAUGCUCUGUUUAGCUUUAAUGGAGAGUACAGCGUGCUCACACUGGAGCUGUACUCAUUUAUUAUCAUAAUGCCCUCUCCUGUACCAGAAGUGAUGCAGCAUUUGAAAAAUGGAAAUCACAAUAUACACUAACUUCACCAGCUCAUAAAAUAUAAAUGCUCUGAAAAUGAAUACAGUGUUAAAUACAGUUAAUCAGCUUUAGAAAACCAAAAAAUAUGUAUUUAUCACUAUAAUGCGUACAUGCAUGGCAUAUUAAUGAAAAAUACCAGAUACUUCAUUUUCUGUGUUUAUUCUACACUGUGCUCAUUACUCUCAUUCAAAUAAUUUAAAUUUGCUUUCAGGACGAGGACUAUUUGCUACUGAUGGGAAAAGUUUGGAUGUCUUCUGUGCCAUAUUUUUCUUUGAGGCUGUGAAGCAGAGUCUGUGCACUGAAUAUAAAGCCAGAUGUGCUGGAGAUUUUGCACAUUGGACUGGCAGAGUAGACCUUUAAAACUGUUGAGCUGUAGUUGUAGUUGCACAUGGUGCAUUGUUAGGAAGUGUAUCAUAAAAAUAUAAGACUUUAUUAAACUCAGUUUAACAGCCUGCCUCAGUUGAGAGUGUGAGACUGUGACUUCUGCUGAAUUUUGCUGCGUGAAGGUUUUUUUAUGCUUCUGUACUUCAGGUAAUGUGCUUAAGUCAAAACCAAGAAAGUGUCCUUGGUUGAGUGUUUGUUUAAUGAAUGAUGAAGAGAAAAUUAUGAAAACAAGCAAAUAUUUUAUUUCAGUCAGUUUUUCCUUGUGAAUCUGUCUGGUGUGCUUUAAAGAUUUCUUUUGCCUGAUGUAGUUUCUUUUCAAGGUGAGGUGGUACCAGAACAUCUCAUUCUUUCAAUUAGUAGUGAAUCCUGUCUUGAAAUAAGAUGGUUGACCAAUGGUGGGAGAAGGUGAGUGCAUCCAAUAGAAAUCCUGUAGAAAAAAUCAAGUCACUUUAAAUUUAUUCCAUAAAGUUACUUAAAGGUGAACUGGAGAGAAAAAGUAGAUGUAAUUGUCCUAAAUUACACUGUUUCUUUGAAGUUAAAUAGGUAUUCAUGUGUUUUCUUUAAAAAAAAAUAAAAAUUCAAGUACAUGUUCUAGUCAAGUUUUUGUUCCAAAAAAGCUAUGGAAAAUAUUCAUUUAAACCUCAGGGAAAAUAUGGAAAUUCUGUUAUUUAUUUUUUGCUGAAUACAAGUGGUGAUUUGUGAGAACUACACUGGAUGGCCAAUAUCUUACUUGUCAGUAUUGGGUUAAAGGUUCUUAUUUGACUCUGAUGCAAUUGAUGUGGAUAGAGGACUGCUGAAAGACAAUUCAAGUGUAGGCCUUGGCACUGAUGUUGCAUUAUCCAACUCUUAUGUCAGGAGUUGUUUUGCUAAAAGUGUGAGUAAUGCAGUGACAUUGACUUGUUUUUUCAAGUGAUUUGUAAUUUUUUCUGUACCUUUUAAGACCAUGUUUUUAGUAUCCAUGUUUCAGCUCUGUUGAUGGUUUCAUUGCCUCAACACCUUUGUGGAUUGGGUUUAGCAUCUGUGGGCCAUGAAUCAGUUUGGUAAUCAUCCCAUUCAGUCUGCUCAGCCAUGUGCAGUCAAAGUCAAACAGUCUGCUAAGAAAAUUCAGAAUCACCUGUAAGUUUGCAGGUGUAACUCUUACUGUGGCAAAUGCCCUGUGAAUUCAGAAUUGAAGUGUGCUCCACUUACUGGAUUUUUUUACUUACAGCCCAUGUUCCUGGUUCUGGUGGUGCUAGUUUGGCAAAAACCGGGCAUAGUCUGUUCCCCUUUUGGAGCUGUGACGAACGUGGUGGGAAAACCGUUCACUUUUUAAGAAGCCCGUUCUUUGCCUCCCCAAUUCCCAAAAUAUGCUCCAUUUACCUAAAUCUUUCUUCAAUUUCAAUCUGUAGAGUUUCUUCUCUUAAUAAAGUAUGCUAAUAAAAAUUCAUGAAAAUAGCAGCAUAUGAUUCGCUUGUCAAGGAAUUAUCUUCCCAUAAUACCCCCCGUGAUGUAACAUUACUUUUUCUCCCAUUCUAUACUCCUCAUUUAAUGGUGCCGAGGUGUGUACCAUCAAUCAUUUCAUUCAUCAAUCAUUCAUAAAGAUUACUUCUGUCAUCUUUAUUGCUUGCUCAAUCACUUUGAUACCUUCAUCUUAUCCUUCCUAUUUUUGCUCUCUGUGGUCUUAAAAAAUAUGGAUGCUUGUGUUGGUAGCAGAGCUGUGCUGAUGAACCUGCUUGUAAAGUCCUCUGCUGUUCAAAGGAGUCUGUCUCUCCAUGUCAUUACUGGUGUCACUGUUCUUGAGAACAGCUUUUUAGCUCUUUAUUCCUCUGGGUGUUUUCCUUUCCCCUUCCAUUGUUUGUCACAGCUCUGCAGCCAUCUCUCACUCCCUGGUUGUUUUGGUAUCUCCGCUGCUUCUGGUGUCAAUGUUAUCUUUUUUCCCUUAAGUCUGUAAUGCUAAAUUUUCUGAAUUAUUCAUAAGACCAUAUAUGAACACCUGCAUCUAUUAUUCAGAACUCCUAAUUUCUUUUAUGCUAGAGCCUAGAACCUCUUUUACAAUUCAGUAAUAAAUGAGAGCCUUCAUUUUAUGCAGAGGUUUUUUUUGCCAACUGUCUUUUAGUUAAUUCUGCAGAGCCCUGCAGUGCAACGAGCUACAAACUUAGAAUAAUUUAG